GGAAGUUUAGCUCAGUUGGUUAGAGCCCCCGACUCAUAAUCGGAUGGUCAUAGGUUCAAGUCCUAUAACUUCCACCA
rnacentral:tRNA from 1 species